rnacentral:lncRNA from 1 species
GAUGGAUAUUUUCAAUUGUCCGGAUCAGAUUAUUCCAGUCUUAACAAGCUAUCAAUCAUCACCCAACCAACACUGCAGAGGAAAAACACCUGCUCUCUGGAGGCUGAGAUGAGUAUUAUCCUGACACAUCACAAUGGAAAUCCUGGUGCACAACAUGCCACCAACACCAAUAAUGAAACGUUGGGUCUCUAAUGGAGGCGCACUACACCCAACAGACCCGAUGUUGCCACCGAGUAGGCUACGGUAUGAGGACCAUUACCUUUGCGGCUGUCUGAUGCGGGAAACGUCACAGCAGCUAUUAAGUACACUAGAUGCAUAG